rnacentral:rRNA from 1 species
AGAGUUUGAUCCUGGCUCAGAUUGAACGCUGGCGGCAUGCCUUACACAUGCAAGUCGAACGGUAACGCGGGGCAACCUGGCGACGAGUGGCGAACGGGUGAGUAACGCAUCGGAACGUGCCCAGUAGUGGGGGAUAGCCCGGCGAAAGCCGGAUUAAUACCGCAUACGACCUACGGGUGAAAGGGGGGGAUCGCAAGACCUCUCGCUAUUGGAGCGGCCGAUGUCAGAUUAGGUUGUUGGUGGGGUAAAGGCCUACCAAGCCGACGAUCUGUAGCUGGUCUGAGAGGACGACCAGCCACACUGGGACUGAGACACGGCCCAGACUCCUACGGGAGGCAGCAGUGGGGAAUUUUGGACAAUGGGCGCAAGCCUGAUCCAGCCAUGCCGCGUGCGGGAAGAAGGCCUUCGGGUUGUAAACCGCUUUUGUCAGGGAAGAAACGCUCUGAGCUAAUACCUCGGGGUAAUGACGGUACCUGAAGAAUAAGCACCGGCUAACUACGUGCCAGCAGCCGCGGUAAUACGUAGGGUGCAAGCGUUAAUCGGAAUUACUGGGCGUAAAGCGUGCGCAGGCGGUUAUGCAAGACAGAUGUGAAAUCCCCGGGCUCAACCUGGGAACUGCAUUUGUGACUGCAUAGCUGGAGUACGGUAGAGGGGGAUGGAAUUCCGCGUGUAGCAGUGAAAUGCGUAGAUAUGCGGAGGAACACCGAUGGCGAAGGCAAUCCCCUGGACCUGUACUGACGCUCAUGCACGAAAGCGUGGGGAGCAAACAGGAUUAGAUACCCUGGUAGUCCACGCCCUAAACGAUGUCAACUGGUUGUUGGACGGCUUGCUGUUCAGUAACGAAGCUAACGCGUGAAGUUGACCGCCUGGGGAGUACGGCCGCAAGGUUGAAGCUCAAAGGAAUUGACGGGGACCCGCACAAGCGGUGGAUGAUGUGGUUUAAUUCGAUGCAACGCGAAAAACCUUACCUACCCUUGACAUGUCUGGAAUCCUGAAGAGAUUUAGGAGUGCUCGAAAGAGAACCAGAACACAGGUGCUGCAUGGCCGUCGUCAGCUCGUGUCGUGAGAUGUUGGGUUAAGUCCCGCAACGAGCGCAACCCUUGUCAUUAGUUGCUACGAAAGGGCACUCUAAUGAGACUGCCGGUGACAAACCGGAGGAAGGUGGGGAUGACGUCAGGUCCUCAUGGCCCUUAUGGGUAGGGCUACACACGUCAUACAAUGGCCGGUACAGAGGGCUGCCAACCCGCGAGGGGGAGCUAAUCCCAGAAAACCGGUCGUAGUCCGGAUCGCAGUCUGCAACUCGACUGCGUGAAGUCGGAAUCGCUAGUAAUCGCGGAUCAGCUUGCCGCGGUGAAUACGUUCCCGGGUCUUGUACACAC